rnacentral:tRNA from 2 species
GGGCAGUUAGCUCAGUUGGUUUAGAGCGCUGCGUCGACAUCGCAGAGGUCACUGGUUCGAACCCAGUACCGCCCA